UUGAAGUCCCAAUAGAUCAUUUUAUAGAGCGGUGGUUGCCAUUUUAAAGGGAAAAAAAUUUUGAAAAGAAGGAAGAGCUGGCGCCAGGGCAGAGCUCUGUUGAGCUGAGUGCAUCCAUCUCCAGGUAUGAUAAAGAAACCUGGGCACCUUCUGUUUGUUUUUCCACACUUCCCCUUCCAAACUGGCCUUUUCAAGAUAUAGGAAAGACCUCAGGACCAAGUUUGUUAUUUUUCUCUCCAGAGCUAAUUCCUUUUCCAAAAUCAGCAAGAACUGCCUCAUUACGUGCUAAGACACGGAAUCACAGCUCUGUGAGGGCCAGAGCUAUGGAAAUCGGAGGAAAUUGGACUUCACCGUGUUGGUGGCACACCCUGCCACCCUUGCCAGGAAAGGAAACGGGAAAAGGAAUCUGAGAAACCUCAGGACAAUUACAGUUCAUUUCCAUACCCUGACUGACAAUGUACUACCUCCUGCUACGGACCGACGUAAGCCUCUUGUCACACCAAGCUCUUAGGCAAAUGGAAUGGG
rnacentral:lncRNA from 1 species